GGACAGGACAGACAAGUUUCCAGUCUUUUUCAGCACGUGGUUAAACAUAUUACAAAUAAGGAGUAAACAUAUCAAUCUGGCAACCUCAGCGAUACUAAGCACGCCCCGUUUAAACGGUAUUGUUUAACGAGAGAAACGAGACUCUGGACGGUAUGAGCCAAGAUUUUGGUUCAUUUUCUGAAGUGUGAAUUCUGUUUUUGAGCCCAGGAGGUCACUGGAACAAACCAAACCCUGGUGUGGUCCAAAUCAGAACUACGCUGAGCUUCUGAAGAUCCAGAAUCCGAGCUGUUCUACAACGGUCUGUUAGUCAUUCUCAGAUGUACAGAGAACCUGCUCGGCUGCAGUACUAAUCCUCCAGACUCUGACAUUGACAGAUGUCCUCACUUUG